AAGAGUUAAGAAUAUGUUUUAUAUGCAUCAAGAAAGAAAUAAAGAUCACUAUCUCUUAAAUUUUAUUUUGUUGUAAUUGUCAUGCAACUAAUCCAAAAUAUCUAGAAUUUUUUACCUCCACCCAUCGGAGGUUGGGCCGAGGGCAGGUUUUUGGGUGUUCUGGCCAUCAUUUCUUAACUUAUUCUGAUAAGUAAAGAACAGUUUGAUUUCAAACUUUGUCCAAGUAUGCAUGUAGGAUUGAUGAUACUUUGAUUAUUUUGAGGGUAUCAAGGUCAAAGGUGACAUGCCUUGUUCACUGAAUAUACAUCGUUCCUGUGAUAAAUGAAGAACCCUUUGAUGGUUCAACUUCAACUUGGCAAAUAUACAUUUGGGAGUAACAAUGAUCAGGUUAUAUUUUGGGGUCACUAGGUCAAAUGUAAAAAAUUCACCAGAGAUCUUUGGAAAAUUUGUGUGUUUAAUAUUUUUAUUUUUUGAUGUGGCAAUAGUGGAUGCAUAAAUUUUGAAACUUACAAAUGUACCCCCAUGAUUCUCAACGGGUUAAGGAUGGAUUGGGUGUCACUGCUAAAUUCUAAAUAAUUAACAAAGUGUUCUUCUCCCCCCCCCUCAAACAAAAUCGUUGGAAGUACCAUGUAUAUAUGCAAAUCAUAACCUUUUAUUUUUUGGUUGUCAACAUUUUCUGGACAAAAGUGCCCCUCCUUUUGGAAAUUUCUGGAUCUGUGCCUGGGGUGAGGCGAGUCAAAAUCACCCUUCAUAGUUUAUUAAUGAUGUUCACUCCACUUUUAAGAUCCUUCUGCCUUGAUCCCUGUUUGCAAUUAUAACAUUUAUAAUUUUGGCAUUACUGUACUUUGUUAAAUCUUUAGGAGGUGAACAGUUUGGUAAAGUGAAGUCAAAAUGGAAAUCGUGCUGGCAGUCAUGAGGAACAAGGCCAAGCAUUGGGUCCAUCCAUGGCCAGGAGACAGAGACUGAGACAUCUGAGCAACUGCUUUCACAUAAGGCAGCCUGCUUCUGGACAUGGGGAAGCCAGAGAAAGAGAAGGAGGUUGAGGGGGAGCCUCAAGCUGUUCCCGAGGCACCAUUGACAUCCAGGGUAGAUGGGAUCUACCGGUAGUUGAUUGUGUAGGACACCAAGAUGAAACCCAGCGUAAGAGAAGGUGCCCUUCCUGUUUUGACCAGCACACCGAGUACCAGGAGCAUGGAUCUGCUGCAAGUUCAACAGGAGACUCAGAAUGCAGCAAGCUAUGCUGCAAAUAUUUUAAAUAAAAAAUCAUCCAUGAUGAUUUUAAAAUUAUCCUCAAUUGUUUGCAGCAGUUUGUUAAUGGAAAUCAGAAGUAAUGUUGAAUAAUUCAACUUCCUUUUUUUUUGUUCGUAUUUUACUACUGAUGUCCAUUAACAUCUACAAUAAAUAUUACCCGUGUUCUAAGCAAAUCUUGCUGAAUUUUAAAGAAGGCAUCAACUACUUAUUGGUGCAUAUACUCCACCUUUUUUUUAUGAUGUUCCCUUGUUUUCCUGCUGAAAAGCUCAAUGCAGCUUUAACUUAAGCAAAAUAUGAACAAAAAUCUUUAUUUGUAGAAAUCCAUACAGCAAUAUCUAUAUUACAGAGAUUGGGCAAGAUUGUUUCAUUGACAGUUACUAAUUAAAAUAAUUAAUUUCAUUUUAUUUAUGAUAGUUUCUCAAACAAUUUCCAUUGAAAAUGAAAUAAAUGAAAUGUAUGAGAAAUUUUAAGAACAAUAUUCAUCAAAAAGAAUCGUUUGCUGCUGCUAUUGUUUUUUUUUUAAGAAGCAAAUUUUACAUUUUAAAAUAAACCAGGCUAUGUUGGCUUUUAUGAAUUCAUCUUUUCUGUCAACUCUAAAAAUAGUAGCUUCAAUGCCACAUACAAUUUAUAUUCUUCUGGAAUUAAUAUUUAAAUUAUUUUAUUAGAUGUUUUCAUCAUCUGUAGAAUUUUUAGUAAAACUUGAACUGCAGAAACACUUCAAAAGAAGAAAUGAGUAGACUGAAAACCUGUUGAAUAUUCUUUUUAGAAAAUGAAGUAAAAUCACCUUGAACUUUGGAAAUUUCCAAAAGCAUAUGUUUGAGCAAGUAAUAUGAAAAUGAGUUUUGCUUAGGUCACAUUACGGCGAGUAGAAAUAAGCCGUUUUAUGUAUUAUUAUACGAAUCACCUACAUGAAGCUGGUACAAGGAUGAAUAAAAUGGCUGAUUUCGACUAGCCGUAAGGCCACCGGCCGGCAAAUGUGACCUAGGCAUAAAUUGCUGAUGUCAUUGCCUCAUAAUUUUAUACAAAAUAAUGGCAAAGACUACAUCCUUUAGGAUUGAGAAAGUUAAACUUGAACUUUAUUCUCAUCUCAGUAGAUAGAAGAUAAUGUUAUUCAUUCAAUACUUGAAUAAAAUUUGAACAAGUGCCUUGCAAUGCAACAUAAAAAUUAAGGUUCUGAAAUCUUAAAGGGAAUCCCUGUGCAAGAACAGUUUUAAAGUUUAUCUAUACUUGUUCAUCUUGCAUGUCUGUUAUAUUUUCUGUCAGCAUUGUUUGUGGAUCCCACACUGGUGUCAUAAGCCAUGGUUCUUAUAUAUAUAUCCUGCAUUGCCCAACAGGAUGCCUUGCAAUUCGCCAUCUGCAAAAGGUUAUCCAAUGGCACUGUUCUGUUGAUUUAAAAGGAAAGGGACCUUGUCAACAUUCAAUCACAUCUUUCAAUAUGCAUACAAUGGUAUGGGAUACUGUUAGCAUUGAAAUUAAAAUAUGAAUUGAUAAGAAUUAUUUUCAAUUAAAUUCAAACUAUUAUUAUUGUU
rnacentral:lncRNA from 1 species